GAUAAACGCUGGCGGCGUGCAUAACACAUUCAAGUCGAACGAACUGAAUCGAAAGCUUGCUUUUGAUGAAAGUUAGUGGCGGACGGGUGAGUAACGCGUGAGCAACCUGCCUGUCUGUGGGGAAUAACACAUGGAAACGUGUGCUAAUACCGCAUGAAGCAAUCCGAUCGCAUGUUUGGAUUGCCAAAGAUUUAUCGCAGACAGAUGGGCUCGCGUCUGAUUAGCUAGUUGGUGAGGUAACGGCCCACCAAGGCGACGAUCAGUAGCCGGACUGAGAGGUUGAACGGCCACAUUGGAACUGAGAUACGGUCCAGACUCCUACGGGAGGCAGCAGUGGGGAAUAUUGGGCAAUGGGGGAAACCCUGACCCAGCGACGCCGCGUGAGGGAAGAAGGGUCUUCGGAUUGUAAACCUUGUUAACAGGGCGAAAAAAUGACGGUACCUGAAUAGAAAGCCACGGCUAACUACGUG
rnacentral:rRNA from 1 species